rnacentral:lncRNA from 1 species
GACGCGUGGUCUCAGACCUCCAGGGACACCACGCAGGGCCCAGCUGCAAAGAGGCAACAGCUCAGGAGGGCUGGAGAACGGCUCGCGCCUGAGCGCCCCAUCCAGUAAGAGGCAUGCAGGGUCCGCACUCGCUCACGUUCCUCAGCCCUCCGUCCCCCAGGCCGCUGGAGGCGCCGGAGCCAGUGCCCUGCGCCCUGCACAGCUCCCCACACAUUUCACUCUCGCCAGCCACGCUCAAGACCCAGGCCUCGAGACAACAGAACUGCACGGCACAGAGCGUGUCCAACCCUCGACUGAAAGUGCCUGGAUGAAAGAAGCUGCACCUGCGCCCACGCGCUGUAGGAUUUUAUUCAUGCCAUUCAUUAUUCCUAACCAUGUGACAGCUAUUCGCACAGCAUUUCCACUGUAGUCGAUGCUGUAAAUCAUCUGGAGAUGAUGCAAAGCACACGGGAGGACAUGUGUAGGUUAAAUGUAAAUGCUCUGCCAUUCCACGGCAGGGACUCAGCACUGUGGCUGUGGGACCCGACCCGCCAGACACUGAGGCACAACUGCGCUCCAUACAGGCGCCCAAGGAAUGAGGGAGUGAGGAGUGGGAAAGAACAGAGAAAAGCCUGUAAGAAACAAGCGUGGUCCUGCGGACUUAGCCAACGCCGCUGGCCCAUAAGGCCCUAGGACGUAAACCUGCACCUGGGGGUAAGACGAAAGCACGCGGGGUUUUCUGUGCUGAAUACAACUCUCACUGAGCCACUGACUUACCUGAGACUUCACGGAAAGCCCAUCUGCACCCAACCCCAGGCAGCCUGUGCCUCCCACAGCUGGGCCUGCCCGAGACUCCUCUGCACCUCCUGCCUUCUGCCUGCAAGCCACGCGUGGUCCUGCCUCUUCCCCAGGACACCACUCCACCCUCACCCACACACACCCACAGCGCCCAUCGAAGGUCCAAGGACUGAGCAGACUCGGCGGGGCCCGCAGGUGCUGUCCAUCAGCCAGCCACAGGUGACGCAUCCCGUGUUGGGCGAGGCCCCAGCAUCCGCACAGAUCUGCUGGGGAAGCCUGAGAUCCCACCCAAGGCCGCAGCGCACCUCUGCACACGCAAAGGUCGGCGGCUGGCAGCGCCUCAGCCCAGAAGCAGAGAAUCCGGACCUUCUGAGGUUCUGUCCUCUCUGAAACACGGAAAAGGAACCAGAGCCAGGUGGACUUCCCGAGGCCCCAGUCCUGCCCCAGCCCCUGGUCAAACCCCACGGAAAUGCAGCUGGACCUCAGGACCUGGACGGGAGGCCCCAAGUCAGGAGGGCCACAUGGCCAGUCCUGCCUUGCUCAAUUCAUCCACAACAGGGCUGGUGUCGCCUGUCUGCACAGGGUUGCCUGAGAAUCAGCAAACGUGAAAAACAAUUCUACCUGGGCACAAGGUGCUGAUUACCAGCCAACGCCCUCCUUCCCUGCCAGAGUGCUCCUCACACCCCUGCACACACUGGGGUGUGCAGGCUCAGUUUUAAAUCCCAGGCACAUGUCCUCCAGCACGCACACCACGUGUCCCAGAGAAAUGUGCUGUUCUUCCACCUCUGUGCGCUGUGGCAGCAGGACAGUGCCCCCUCGGCCCCAGGGGUUCCUACACUUGAGGCCUGGAGAACCGCUGGACACAGGGGACUGAGCUGCCUCGCAGAAGCCAGUCUGGGGUCCUGCC